rnacentral:rRNA from 1 species
GACGAACGCUGGCGGCGUGCUUAACACAUGCAAGUCGAACGGAAAGGCCCUGCUUUUGUGGGGUGCUCGAGUUGCGAACGGGUGAGUAACACGUGAGUAACCUGCCCUUGACUUUGGGAUAACUUCAGGAAACUGGGGCUAAUACCGGAUAGGAGCUCCUGCUGCAUGGUGGGGGUUGGAAAGUUUCGGCGGUUGGGGAUGGACUCGCGUCUUAUCAGCUUGUUGGUGGGGUAGUGGCUUACCAAGGCUUUGACGGGUAGCCGGCCUGAGAGGGUGACCGGACACAUUGGGACUGAGAUACGGCCCAGACUAGUACGGGAGGCAGCAGUGGGGAAGAUUGCACAAUGGGCGGAAGCCUGAUGCAGCAAAGCAGCGUGCGGGAUGACGGCAUUCGGGUUGUAAACCGAUUUCGCCUGUGACGAAGCGUGAGUGACGGUAAUGGGUAAAGAAGCACCGGCUAACUACGUG